GUUCCUGGAGCGUGCAGUGCAACUGGGAAGGGGCAUUAACCUCCUUGCUUGGGUCUGCUGCUCAGGAAGGUUGUGGCGACGUGGGGGUUUGGCCUCUUUUUCUCGGUAACAGCAUUAGGAUAAGAGUCUCAGGUGACGUUCCUCUGACAGUGCUCAGUGGGCAGCUCUAAUGGGCGCUGCAUGGAGAUCCUUGCAGCAGCAGGUACAAUUGCUGCUCUUCUUACUUGCCUGCAGACGUUCCAAGCGAUCGAGUGUGACACCUUCCUGCAAAUGAGGUGUUGCAUCUGGUGGACACAGCUCCCGAUGAAUAAGAAGGGGAGGAUGAACACUGCAGCCUGAGACAAAGCUCCUCUAUGAACUGACUCGUGGAGGGUGGAUAUGUAAGGAUUCGUCACGCAGACCUUCUGUUUUCGCCUCCUUUGUCAAGCAAAAUAACAGAAUUCCUUGGACCGUCGGAAACAGAUAAUACCCAAAAUAUUUCAACAAGAUGAGACCACAAUAGUUACUUUAUUAUCUUAAUUGAGAAUCUUGAGACAGCCCAAUUAUUCUAACAAUGGGAGAGUGGUUGCCUAGCCUGUCUGCUUCUAGCCAAUCCAGUUUUCAUUUACUGAGAAAUGUAUGGUGAAUACUGUGACAAGUUUAGCAACUGCAGAUUUUUCAUCAGUUAAGAUUCUCUUUUCCAGCAAACACGAGAGCUUUUCUUCAAGUGUCUGUGCAUUUACUCCUACCAAAGAUUCUUUUGUUUGUUUGUUUGUUUAAAGGAGUGUAUGAUGUCAUCUUUUAUUCAAAAUUCUGCUAGUCCUGCUAAACCAGCAACUCACCCUUUGCUAGAUAUAUCUCAGACUGAAGUCAUCUUGUGUGCAUCAGACUAAGGCUCAAAUGCUGGGAGCUGGUUGGUCAUGCAGUGCAGCUUGUAUGACUGCCAAUUUGGGUGCAUCCCGUGCCUGUGUGCAGAGAGCCGGGUGCCAGACUUCCACGUCGUUUGGAGAAAGGUCACCUGUUUCCCCUGUUAGCACACUUGCUUGUUGAUUGUUUAUAAAGGCUGGGAAUUAGCUUAGCUGUCCUUGUCCUUUGAAGAAGAUGCAAUGUUCAUUGCUGUUCACCAAGAUGUGGAAGACAGAGAUUGGUUUGUGUAGUCCCAUGUUCAAGAAGAAAAGUCUUUGUCGCAGUGUUCAAAGUUUAAAUUGUGCCUUCACAUAAUAAAGCUUUGUUUUUCCUGGGGAA